rnacentral:rRNA from 1 species
GACGAACGCUGGCGGCGUGCUUAACACAUGCAAGUCGAACGGAAAGGCCCUUCGGGGUACUCGAGUGGCGAACGGGUGAGUAACACGUGGGUGAUCUGCCCUGCACUUUGGGAUAAGCCUGGGAAACUGGGUCUAAUACCGAAUAGGACCACGCGCUUCAUGGUGUGUGGUGGAAAGCUUUUGCGGUGUGGGAUGGGCCCGCGGCCUAUCAGCUUGUUGGUUGGGUAAUGGCCUACCAAGGCGACGACGGGUAGCCGGCCUGAGAGGGUGACCGGCCACACUGGGACUGAGGUACGGCCCAGACUCCUACGGGAGGCAGCAGUGGGGAAUAUUGCACAAUGGGCGCAAGCCUGAUGCAGCGACGCCGCGUGAGGGAUGACGGCCUUCGGGUUGUAAACCUCUUUCAAUAGGGACGAAGCGCAAGUGACGGUACCUAUAGAAGAAGCACCGGCCAACUACGUG